GGCUGGGGAUGCCCAGUGUAGACUGUAGCGCUAGAGAAGCAAUUUCUGACCCCUCUUUCUUUCUCUGGUCACUCAAUUGCAGGACAGGAGUUGCUCCUUCCCAAAGAGUUUUGGGGUGACUCCUGCACCUGCGCCGGCUCCUGCAAAUGCAAAGAGUGCAAAUGCACCUCCUGCAAGAAAAGCUGCUGCUCCUGCUGCCCUGUGGGCUGUGCCAAGUGUGCCCAGGGCUGCAUCUGCAAAGGGGCGUCGGACAAGUGCAGCUGCUGCGCCUGAUGCUGGGACAGCCCUGCUCCCAGAUGUAAAUAACGCGACUUCUACAAACCUGGAUUUUUUAUGUACAACCCUGACCCUGACCGUUUGCUAUAUUCCUUUUUCUAUGAAAUAAUGUGAAUGAUAAUAAAACAGCUUUGACUUGA
rnacentral:sRNA from 1 species